CUACGGGUGGCAGCAGUGAGGAAUAUUGGUCAAUGGGCGUAAGCCUGAACCAGCCAAGUCGCGUGAGGGAUGAAGGUUCUAUGGAUCGUAAACCUCUUUUAUAAGGGAAUAAAGUGUGGGACGUGUCCUAUUUUGUAUGUACCUUAUGAAUAAGGAUCGGCUAACUCCGUGCCAGCAGCCGCGGUAAUACGGAGGAUGCGAGCGUUAUCCGGAUUUAUUGGGUUUAAAGGGUGCGUAGGCGGGCUUUUAAGUCAGCGGUAAAAAUUCGGGGCUCAACCCCGUCCGGUCGUUGAAACUGGGGGCCUUGAGUGGGCGAGAAGAAGGCGGAAUGCGUGGUGUAGCGGUGAAAUGCAUAGAUAUCACGCAGAACCCCGAUUGCGAAGGCAGCCUUCCGGCGCCCUACUGACGCUGAGGCACGAAAGUGCGGGGAUCGAACAGGAUUAGAUACCCCUGUAGUC
rnacentral:rRNA from 1 species